rnacentral:rRNA from 1 species
UUACCCUCUGGGGUAGCAUUUAUUAGAUGGAACCAACCCCUUCGGGGUGAUGUGGUGAAUCAUAAUAAGCUUGCGGAUCGCCGGUGGCGAUGGAUCAUUCAAGUUUCUGCCCUAUCAGCUUUGGACGGUAAGGUAUUGGCUUACCGUGGCUUUAACGGGUAACGGGGAAUUAGGGUUUGAUUCCGGAGAGGGAGCCUGAGAGACGGCUACCACAUCCAGGAAGGCAGCAGGCGCGUAAAUUACCCAAUCUUGACACAAGGAGGUAGUGACAAUAAAUAACAAUGCCGGGCCUUCUAGGUCUGGCAAUUGGAAUGAGAACAAUUUAAACCCCUUAUCGAGGAUCAAUUGGAGGGCAAGUCUGGUGCCAGCAGCCGCGGUAUUCCCGCUCCAUAGAAAAAUAAAAUU